CGCUGGCGGCGUGCCUAACACAUGCAAGUCGAGCGGAGACAGACGGAAAGCUUGCUUUCUGUCUGUUUCAGCGGCGGACGGGUGAGUAACGCGUGAGCAACCUGCCUUUAACAGGGGAAUAACGCAUCGAAAGAUGUGCUAAUACCGCAUAAGACCACAGCAUCACAUGGUGCAGGGGUCAAAGGAGCAAUCCGGUUAAAGAUGGGCUCGCGUCCGAUUAGCUGGUUGGUGAGACAACAGCCCACCAAGGCGACGAUCGGUAGCCGACCUGAGAGGGUGAUCGGCCACAUUGGAACUGAGAUACGGUCCAGACUCCUACGGGAGGCAGCAGUGGGGAAUAUUGGGCAAUGGGCGAAAAAGCCUGACCCAGCAACGCCGCGUGAGGGAAGAAGGGUUUCGGCUCGUAAACCUCUGUCCUAUGGGACGAAGGAAGUGACGGUACCAUAGGAGGAAGCCCCGGCUAACUACGUGCCAGCCGCUGC
rnacentral:rRNA from 1 species